UACGUAGGUGGCAAGCGUUGUCCGGAAUUAUUGGGCGUAAAGCGCGCGCAGGUGGUUUCUUAAGUCUGAUGUGAAAGCCCACGGCUCAACCGUGGAGGGUCAUUGGAAACUGGGGAACUUGAGUGCAGGAGAGAAGAGUGGAAUUGCACGUGUAGCGGUGAAAUGCGUAGAGAUGUGGAGGAACACCAGUGGCGAAGGCGGCUCUCUGGGACGGUACUGACGCUGAGACGCGAAAGCGUGGGGAGCGAACAGG
rnacentral:rRNA from 1 species